GUGGCCGCAGCCCUUCCCAAGGGGCGGGACCAAUGGGAAGCCGCGCCUGCACGGGAAGCCGGGCUCUCAUUGGACGGGCCCUUCCGGAGGCGGCGAGUGAAGUCAGCGAGCUAAAAAGAGCGAAAGGGACCGAAUGACUUAAGAGGGGACCCUGCAUCGGAAAGCCUGCUCUUCCCACAACCACAGGGACAAAUAUUACCGGAUCCUCCAGUCUGCCAGCUGAUAUUGCUUCUUGGCAUCCACGUCGCAAUAGAGCUUCAGCAGAUGAUGCAGAGAGUGGCGUCCGAGGUUGAGCAGCCGAGCUGCCUGGGUCAGUGAAAGUUUCGUUCAAGAUGUACAAGUCGCUGCGUAGCUCUAACGGGUCAAUGAUGAAGUCUUCCGUUCGGGUAGAAAUUUGCAUCAGGCAAGUCAGCCCCAAGAAACUCCGAUAGGAAUGGUGCUGCGGGACAGCGGGAGAGAAACAAACAUCAAAGAAAAAGAAGCCACACCAAAAAGAAAAGAAAAGAAAAGAAAAGAAAAGAAAAGAAAAGAAAAGAAAAAAGGCUCACCUCCAAAUCCAAAGCGAACUCUUUGCAGCCCACCAGCUUCUCGUUCAGCUCCACCAACUCCUCCAAGGUGGAAAUGAAGUGGCAGGGAGUCUCUGUCAAGGGUCUGAACAUCUGGCCGGAGAAAGAAAAAAAAUAUAUGAAAGAAGCGUAGUAUAGUUUCAGCUGCAGAGCCCAGAAGGAGCUGGAAGGAGGUGGGAGGACUUGGCCCAACGCUCACCUGGACCUGAGGCUUUUCGAGAAAUUCUGUUGGCACUGAAAAAUGUUCCAGUUCAUACCGAUACGGAUGAGCAAACCUACAAGAAUCCGGAAGGACAGUACGAUCAGGAACUAAGGUUGUGAUUCUUAACUAAUGAAGAAACCAGCAACCGGUAGCACCAGCAAUAAAUAGAAGACAACCGA